rnacentral:lncRNA from 1 species
GCCGCCUCAAAUCCUUUUGUAAGGAAUCAGGAUACAAUUCUUAAACUACAGUUAUACCCCACGUCGACACUCAGGGGCACACGUUUGGGAGACCUUUGGACCGAGGAACGCAUUCCUCACUCAGAGGUCUGGGGGCAGGCGCAGUGCCCAGGCAACCCCCGGCGUCUCCCUCGCCGUGCCCCAACCCCCGCCGCCGCUGCCCCUUGGAGGAGCCGCAAAUCCCUAAACCAGAGCGUGAGCCCCGACUUGGGGUGCAGGGAUAAGGAACACUUCCAUCCCAUGGGAAGAGAACACGCGAAGAUGAAGGAGAGAGAGAACAUAGGGAGUAUGGAAAGGAGCAGAACCUCAGGAAGAAGAGUCCACCUUGGAAAGGAAGGGGUUCCCAUGCCCUUCUGAGAGGAGAGAUGAAGAGAAUUUGGGGCUGGUGGUUUGGAGAGAGAGAGCCGUGGGAGGAACUGGAGGAGAUCAGGUCAUUGGCUAAGGGUGGAGGCAAGUGUGGGACUGGAGAUUUUCACAGAAUGGAAAAGAUUCCGAAUAAUCGUAGGGAAAAGAUGGGUUGAGAUUAAGAAUUAAAAAAAAAAAAGAUGUGCAAGAGCUUUGAGGCUUAUCUUAUUUAAUUAGGGGAGCACAUAUGCCAGUUUAAACCAGACUUAAAAUUAGAUCCAUG